UACGUAGGGUGCAAGCGUUGUCCGGAAUUAUUGGGCGUAAAGAGCUCGUAGGCGGUCUGUCGCGUCGGAUGUGAAAUCUCGGAGCUUAACUCCGAAACUGCAUUCGAUACUGCUGUGCUUGAGGACUGGAGAGGAGACUGGAAUUUACGGUGUAGCGGUGAAAUGCGUAGAUAUCGUAAGGAAGACCAGUGGCGAAGGCGGGUCUCUGGACAGUUCCUGACGCUGAGGCACGAAGGCCAGGGGAGCAAACGGG
rnacentral:rRNA from 1 species